CAUAGUUUAAAAGGCAAAACUGACUCUAGAUCAGCACUCCAACUAAGUGGGAAUACAGUAGUCCUGUGGCUCAGUUGGUAGAGUAUGGUGAAUGGGUCCCAAUGGGACCACCGGCAUGAAAGAUGUAUCCACACAUAAUAAGUCACUUUGGUUAAAAGUGUUUCUAAAUGGCAUAUCUUAUGAUAUAAUAAUAUCACUUAGUUGGACUAUACAGGUCCAGAUAUACAGGGUUUAUGUCAAACUUGUGUUCAGGUCCUCUUGGUUCUGGGUUUGUUGUGUUCAGGUCCUCUUGGUUCUGGGUUUGUUGAGUUCAGGUCCUCUUGGUUCUGGGUUUGUUGUGUUCAGGUCCUCUUGGUUCUGGGUUUGGUGUGUUCAGGUCUUCUUGGUUCUGGGUUUGUUGUGUUCAGGUCCUCUUGGUUCUGGGUUUGUUGUGUUCAGGUCCUCUUGGUUCUGGGUUUGUUGUGUUCAGGUCCUCUUGGUUCUGGGUUUGUUGUGUUCAGGUACUCUUGGUUCUGGGUUUGGUGAGUUCAGGUCCUCUUGGUUCAGGGUUUGUUGUGUUCAGGUUCUCUUGGUUCUGGGUUUGUUGCGCUCAGGUCUUCUUGGUUCAGGGUUUGUUGUGUUCAGGUUCUCUUGGUUCUGGGUUUGGUGAGUUCAGGUCCUCUUGGUUCAGGGUUUGUUGUGUUCAGGUUCUCUUGGUUCUGGGUUUGUUGCGUUCAGGUCUUCUUGGUUCAGGGUUUGUUGUGUUCAGGUUCUCUUGGUUCUGGGUUUGUUGCGUUCAGGUCUUCUUGGUUCUGGGUUUGUUGUGUUCAGGUCUUCUUGGUUCUGGGUUUGUUGCGUUCAGGUCUUCUUGGUUCUGGGUUUGUUGCGUUCAGGUCUUCUUGUUUCUGGGUUUGUUGCGUUCAGGUCUUCUUGGUUCUGGGUUUGUUGCAUUCAGGUCUUUUUGGUUCUGGGUUUGUUGUGUUCAGGUCUUCUGGGUUUGUUGACUCUACUAUAGAUCUCAGAAGAGUCCUCCUCAGCUGCUUGUGCUGCCGUGGGUCUGAAG
ensembl:lncRNA